rnacentral:lncRNA from 1 species
UAAAUAAGAGUAGGUGUGGAAAGAUGAAUUUAGAGAUUUAUUGGAGUAAGUUUACUUGAAGAAUAAGCUUUUGGCCAGGUUUGACUCUCUCUCUCUCACUCUCAUUCUAGUCCAUAUAAAUAAGAGUAGGUGUGAAAAGAUAAAUUUAGAGAUUUACUGGAGUAAGUUUACUUGAAGAAUAAGCUUUUGGCCAGGUUUGACUCUCUCUCUCUCUCUCUCUCUCUCACUCUAAUUCUCACCUUGUCUCUUUUACGUACUCAAUCUGCUAUUUCUUUAUCUAUUUCUGCUAUAAAAUCUCUAUUUUUUAAUAUAUUGCUACUAGAACUUAUUGUGUGUCCAUCUUUCUUUCAGUUUAAUAUGAAACUGAUACUUUUCUAUCAUGGCCAUUAGAACUUUUCUCUUCUUGCCUAUUCCUGAAAAUUGGAGAGCAAGCUAGAUGCUUGUUUAGAGGACCUUCCAACAAUACGGAAGCAAUACCUAAUUGGACCUACGUCAACAUGAAUCAAAGAUUGAUGUCAAAG